rnacentral:rRNA from 1 species
GAACUUAAGCAUAUCAAUAAGCGGAGGAAAAGAAACCAACAGGGAUUGCCUCAGUAACGGCGAGUGAAGCGGCAACAGCUCAAAUUUGAAAUCUGGCCGCAAGGUCCGAGUUGUAAUUUGUAGAGGAUGCUUUUGGCGAGGUGCCUUCCGAGUUCCCUGGAACGGGACGCCAUAGAGGGUGAGAGCCCCGUACGGUAGGACCACCAAGCCUCUGUAAAGCUCCUUCGACGAGUCGAGUAGUUUGGGAAUGCUGCUCUAAAUGGGAGGUGUACGUCUUCUAAAGCUAAAUACCGGCCAGAGACCGAUAGCGCACAAGUAGAGUGAUCGAAAGAUGAAAAGCACUUUGAAAAGAGGGUUAAAAAGUACGUGAAAUUGUUGAAAGGGAAGCAUUCAUGACCAGACUUGGGCUUGGUUGAACAUCCGGCGUUCUCGCCGGUGCACUCUGCCAGUCCAGGCCAGCAUCAGUUUGCCCCGGGGGAUAAAGGCGGCGGGAAUGUGGCUCCCUUCGGGGAGUGUUAUAGCCCGUCGUGUAAUGCCCUGGGGCGGACUGAGGAACGCGCUUCGGCACGGAUGCUGGCGUAAUGGUCAUCAAUGACCCGUCUUGAAACACGGACCAAGGAGUCGUCUUCGUAUGCGAGUGUUCGGGUGUCAAACCCCUACGCGUAAUGAAAGUGAACGUAGGUGAGGGCUUCGGCGCAUCACCGACCGAUCCUGAUGUUCUCGGAUGGAUUUGAGUAAGAGCAUACGGGGCCGGACCCGAAA